rnacentral:lncRNA from 1 species
AUCCAUUUGAAACCAUCUCUUGUUGUUUGUGUGAUCUUUAAAGUUAUGGUUGCAAAACAAAUCCAAUCCUAAUAUGAGCGGAUGUUCUCAGAGGCCAUGCUAUUUUGUAUUUCAGUGCUACAUUUGCUCCCUUGGACAACCAGGUGACCCCGUCCAAGGUUAAGCAUGAAUCCCCGAGGAAGAGCUAUGCACUAUGCUCCACAACAGGAGCAACGCCUCUCUGUGACUUGAGUGAAGGAAGCAACAUUGAUGGAUAG